GAAAUGCGAUAAGUAAUGUGAAUUGCAGAAUUCCGUGAAUCAUCGAAUCUUUGAACGCACAUUGCGCCCUCUGGCAUUCCGGGGGGGCAUGCCUGUCCGAGCGUCAUUACGCACCCUCAAGCCCGGCUUGUGUGAUGGGCCCCGGCGUCUCGUUCACGAGACGGGCCCGAAAGGCAGCGGCGGCGUCGACCCGAUGAGCCCGAGCGUAUGGGGACUUCUGUCACACGUUCGCGGUGCGGACCGGCGCCUGCUUGACUUUUCUGAUUAUCCAGGUUGACCUCGGAUCAGGUAGGGAUACCCGCUGAACUUAAGC
rnacentral:misc_RNA from 1 species